rnacentral:tRNA from 2 species
UGGGGCGUCGCCAAGUUGGCAAGGCACAGGACUUUGGUUCCUGCAUACGAAGGUUCGAGUCCUUCCGCCCCAG